rnacentral:rRNA from 1 species
AUUUAAUUUAUUUAUUAUUUUAUUGAAAUGUUUAUUAUAUUAUAAGGGAAGAAUUUAUAUGUUAUUGUUUUUAGUAUAGAUUUAAUUUUUUUUAAUGAUGAAGAAUUAGUACUGUGAAGGGUUAAUUGUUAUAUAUUUGGAAGUUAAUUUUGUUUAUUGUACCUUGUGUAUCAGGGUUUAUUGAAAUUAUAGAUUUAAUUUUUUUUCUCGAUUUUAAAAGAGCUAGUUGAUUAAUGUGGUUAUUGUUAUAUAAGUAUCAUAAAUAUUAUUUGGUAAUGAGAUUUUAUUCGUUUUUAAAGGUAUCUAGUUACUUAAGAAACAAAUUAAAUUUGUUUCUAUUUUUUAAUUAUUAUUAUUGAUGAUAAUGAUUUUAAUUUAGGUUAAUAUUUUGAGGGAUUAUCUUUUAGAUAUAAAUAUAUUAUAAGUUUAUUGUGAGAAAAAUUAAUUAUUUUGGUUUGAUAGUAAUUAUUUUUUAUAGUGUAUUAAAACUUGAUUAAUUAAUAUUUGUGAAUUUGAAGUGUUAAAUAUUAUGUUUAAUUAUUAUAUUAGGUUAAUUUUUAUAAUUUUUUAUAAUUUGGUUUUAUGAUAGAAUUAGUAUAAAUAUAUUGUAUAAUAUGAAUUUAAUUUUGGUAAGUGUAUUUAAGGAAUUAGGCAAUAAUUUUGGAUAUUCGUAUGUUUAACAAAAACAUUUCUUCUUGAAUUAUUUAAGAGGUAUGACCUGCCCACUGAAUAAUAUUGAAGGGCCGCGGUAUUUUGACCGUGCAAAGGUAGCAUAAUCAUUAGUCUUUUAAUUGGAGGCUGGAAUGAAUGGUUGGACGAGAUAUAGACUGUCUUGUAUAUAUUGAUUUAUGAAUUUAACUUUUGAGUUAGAAGGUUCAAAUUUUUUCAUGGGACGAGAAGACCCUAUAGAAUUUGAUGUUUUAAUUAUAUAAACGGGUUAUGAGUGGUCAUUUGAAUCUUAUAAUUAAAUCAUUUUGUUGGGGUAAUGGCGAAAUAAAAGGAACUUUCGUUUAAGUAUUUUAUUUAAUAAUGAUUUUUAUUAUGUAGAUCCAGUAAUAUUGAUUAUAAGAUAAAAUUACCUUAGGGAUAACAGCGUAAUCUUUCUGAAGAGUUCAAAUCGAUAGGAGGGGUUGCGACCUCGAUGUUGGAUUAAGAUAAAUUUUGGGUGUAGAAGCUUAAAUAAUUAGGUCUGUUCGACCUUAAAAAUCUUACAUGAUCUGAGUUCAGAUCGGCGUGAGCCAGGUCGGUUUCUAUCUAUGAUUAAGUUAAAUAUUUUAGUACGAAAGGACCAGAUAUUUAGAAUAAUUUUUGUUGUAGAGUAAAAAUA